AAGAAGGUCUUUUUAUAAGGUAGAUGAAGGAUGCCUUGGGGCAAAGGGCCGAUGAAGGACGUACUAGGCUGCGAUAAGCCUCGGUGAGCUGCCACGAAGCGCUAUUAACCGGGGAUUUCCGAAUGGGGUAACCCAGUCGCCUUUGGCGACUACGCUUGAGCCAAGUUCCUGCCUUUUGGCGGGAUAUUAACUCAAGUGAGGGAACUCAGCGAAGUGAAACAUCUCAGUAACUGAAGGAAAAUAAAGAGAAUGCGCGUAAGCGCGAUUCCCUAAGGGGGCGUAGUAGUUUAUGCCUACCUUAGGGGAUCUCGAUCCCCUAAGUAGCGGCGAGCGAAAGGGGGGAAGCCUAAACUCCGGCGCAAGUCGGAGGGUUGCAGGACCUGCAUCAGGAAAGUUUUUGGUAGGAGAACGCCCUGGAAAGGGCGGCCACAGAGGGUGAAAGCCCCGUAACCGAAACUGGAAACUUUCUGGCAGGACACCUAAGUAUCACGAGAUAAGUGAAAGCUUGUGAGAAUCGAGCCAAACCACUGGCUAAGGCUAAAUACUCUUUGCCACCGAUAGUGAACAAGUACCGUGAGGGAAAGGUGAAAAGAACCCCGGUAAGGGGAGUGAAAUAGAAUCUGAAAUCAUCUACUUACAAGCAGGCGGAGCCCGCAAGGGUGACGCCGUGCCUAUUGAAGAAUGACCCGAGGAGUUAUCGCAAGCAGCAAGGUUAACUGCGUCAAACGCAGCGAGCCGUAGCGAAAGCAAGUUCUAAACGAGCGAUUAGUUGCUUGCGGUAGACCCGAAACCUGGUGAGCUAACCAUGGGCAGGAUGAAAGCCGACGAGAGUCGGCUGGAGGUCCGAACCGAUGUGCGUUGCAAUGCGCUCGGAUGACCUGUGGUUAGGGGUAAUAUGCCAAUCGAACCAGGUGAUAGCUGGCUCUCCCCGAAAUGUAUUUAGGUACAGCCUUGCAAAGUAACGAAGGGGGUAGAGAUACUGGAAGGAAUGCCGAGUCCGUGAGGACAUCGCUUCCUACCAAACUCCGAAUACCUUCGCGAAAUUUGCAGGAGUGAGCAGGCGGGAGCAAGUUCCGUCGUGCUAAAGGGAAACAGCCCAAACCAUCGGUUAAGGUCCCUAAGUUAGAUUUAAGUGGGAAAGGUAGUGGAAUUUCUUAGACAUCCAGAAGGUAGGCUUAGAAGCAGCCAUCCUUAAAAGAGUGCGUAACAGCUCACUGGUUGAGGAAUUCCGCGCCGAAAAUGUAACGGGGCUCAAAAUCUACACCGAAACCGUGGAUUCGCCGCAAGGCGAGUGGUAGGGGAGCGUCGCCACAGCUGUGAAGCUGGAUCGUAAGGUCCGGUGGAGCGGUGGCGAGUGAGAAUCUCGGGAUGAGUAACGUUUGGCGGUGAGAAUCCGCCACGCCGGAAGUUCAAGGUUUCCUCCGCUCUGGUCGUCAUCGGAGGGUUAGUCGGUCCUAAGCCGAGGUCGAAAGACGUAGGUAAUGGGCAGGGCGUUAAUAUUCGCCCACUUCCGCACGGUUCGAUGGGGUAACGUUUUCCAAAGUUGCGAGCGUCCGCAUGGUUGGGCGUUCUGCGCACCAAGGUGCUUUGUUGGCAAAUCCGCAAGGCAUAAGCCAAGGUGUGACGGGGAGUUCCGUAAGGGACAACUCGUGAGGCUGGAGAACCAAGAAAAACCUCUAAGUUAUGCCGUGUGGGAUCCGUACCGCAAACCGACACAGGUGAACUAGGUGAGUAGCCUAAGGCGCGCGGGAAAACGUUCUUUGAGGAAUUCGGCAAGUUGGCCCCGUACGUUCGCAAGAAGGGGUGCCCCGUCGUAAGGCGGGGUCGCAGCAACAAGGCUCAAGCGACUGUUUAACAAAAACACAGGUCUCCGCUCAACCCGUAAGGGGAUGUAUGGGGGCUGAAGCCUGCCCAGUGUCUGUAGGUUACGGAGAGGUCUGAGAUUAUAUCAGGGAUCGAACCUAAGCCCAGAUGAACGGCAGCAGUAACUAUAACUGUUUUAAAGUAGCGAAGUUCCUUGUCGGGUAAGUUCCGACCCGCACGAAAGGCUUCACGACUUGAGCACUCUCUUAAAGAAUGACCCGGUGAAAUUGAAAUGGCCGUGAAGAUGCGGCCUACCCACAGCAGGACAAAAAGACCCCGUGGAGCUUUACUGUAGCUUGACAUUGGUUUGAUGAUUGGAUUUGUGUAGCGUAGGAGGGAGCCGCAAGGCGCCAAUGAAACACCUCUCGAUCUGAUUUUCAAAUCUAACCUAGGCGGUCAUCCCGUCUGGGAACAGUGUCUGGUGGGCAGUUUAACUGGGGCGGUUGCCUCGCAAAGUGUAACCGAGGCGCCCCAAGGUCGGCUUGGUCUCGAUGGACACGAGACUGUAAGUGCAAAGACAUAUGCCGGCUUGACUGCGAGACCAACAAGUCGAGCAGGUGCGAAAGCAGGGCUUAGUGACCUGUUCACUUCGAGUGGCGGAGUGAACAACAUCGAAUAAAAGCUACCCCGGGGAUAACAGGCUGAUCUCCUCCAAGAGUCCACAUCGACGAGGAGGUUUGGCACCUCGAUGUCGGCUCGUCCUAUCCUGGGGCUGGAGAAGGUCCCAAGGGUUUGGCUGUUCGCCAAUUAAAAGGGCACGCGAGCUGGGUUCAGAACGUCGUGAGACAGUUCGGUCUCUAUCCGCUGUGGGCGUUUAGCUUUUGAGGGGAUUUCUCUCUAGUACGAGAGGACCGAGAGGAGCCAACCUCUGGUGUACCGGUUGUCCUACCAAGGGCAUAAGAUAUGCCGGGUAGCUAUGUUGGUAAGGGAUAAGCGCUGAAAGCAUCUAAGCACGAAGCCCACCCCAAGAUGAAAAGCAGACCCCUUGUAGACUACAAGGUUGAUAGGUGUUAGGUGUAAGGCCCGUAAGGGUUUGAGCCGAGACAUACUAAUAGGUCGUUUGAUCUUCUUUU
rfam:Candidate division WWE3 bacterium CSP1-7 XT08_C0001, whole genome shotgun sequence.